CCUAUGGGUGGCAGCAGUGAGGAAUAUUGGUCAAUGGGCGCGAGCCUGAACCAGCCAAGUAGCGUGAAGGAUGACUGCCCUACGGGUUGUAAACUUCUUUUAUAAAGGAAUAAAGUGAGGCACGUGUGCCUUUUUGUAUGUACUUUAUGAAUAAGGAUCGGCUAACUCCGUGCCAGCAGCCGCGGUAAUACGGAGGAUCCGAGCGUUAUCCGGAUUUAUUGGGUUUAAAGGGAGCGUAGAUGGGUUGUUAAGUCAGUUGUGAAAGUUUGCGGCUCAACCGUAAAAUUGCAAUUGAUACUGGCAGUCUUGAGUACAGUUGAGGUAGGCGGAAUUCGUGGUGUAGCGGUGAAAUGCUUAGAUAUGACGAAGAACUCCGAUUGCGAAGGCAGCUUACUAAACUGCCACUGACAUUGAUGCUCGAAAGUGUGGGUAUCGAACAGGAUUAGAUACCCCGGUAGUC
rnacentral:rRNA from 1 species